rnacentral:rRNA from 1 species
CUCCUACGGGGAGGCAGCAGUGGGGGAAUAUUGCACAAUGGGCGCAAGCCUGAUGCAGCCAUGCCGCGUGUGUGAAGAAGGCCUUCGGGUUGUAAAGCACUUUCAGCAGUGAGGAAGGCGGAGUCGUUAAUAGCGGCCUCGUUUGACGUUAGCUGCAGAAGAAGCACCGGCUAACUCCGUGCCAGCAGCCGCGGUAAUACGGAGGGUGCGAGCGUUAAUCGGAAUUACUGGGCGUAAAGCGCAUGCAGGUGGUUUGUUAAGUCAGAUGUGAAAGCCCGGGGCUCAACCUCGGAAUAGCAUUUGAAACUAGGCAGACUAGAGUACUGUAGAAGGGGGUAGGAAUUUCAGGUGUAGCGGUGAAAUGCGUAGAGAUCUGAAGGAAUACCGGUGGCGAAGGCGGCCCCCUCGGACAGAUACUGACACUCAGAUGCGAAAGCGUGGGGAGCAAACAGGAUUAGAUACCCUGGUAG